AUCUUCCACAAUGGGCGACAGCCUGAUGGAGCAACGCCGCGUGCGUGAAGAAGGUUUUCGGAUCGUAAAACUCGGUUGUAAGGGAAGAACAAGUACAGUAGUAACUUGCUGUACCUCGACGGUACUUUAUCAGAAAGCCACGGCUAACUACGUGCCAGCAACCGAGGUAAUACGUAGCUGGCAAGCGUUGCUCGGAAUUGUUGGGCGUAAAGCGCGCGCAGGCGGUCCUUUAAGUCUGAUGUGAAAGCCCACGGCUCAACCGUGGAGGGUCAUUGGAAACUGGGGGACUUGAGUGCAGAAGAGGAAAGUGGAAUUCCAAGUGUAGCGGUGAAAUGCGUAGAGAUUUGGAGGAACACCAGUGGCGAAGGCGACUUUCUGGUCUGUAACUGACGCUGAGGCGCGAAAGCGUGGGGAGCAAACA
rnacentral:rRNA from 1 species